rnacentral:rRNA from 1 species
AUGACUAGGGAUAACCUUAGGAAGAGACACAUCAUCAAACCCCUUGAUUGUGUUUACUGCUUGGAACAAGAGUCUUGUUCUCACCUAUUUUUUGAAUGUAUAGUUGCUAAACAUCUCUGCGCCCACAUUGAGGAAUAUUUCUCUAGUAAGAUUGGCUCAUCCUUCGAAUCUGUCGCCGGAUUCUGGAUUGCUACCAAAAAGUGCUCAGUUUUAAACACUGUUAGCUCAGAUGUCCUUUGGUGCCUCUGGAAAUAUGGAAAUGCUAUGAUUUUCAGUAACACCUCCUGGAUUUCCAUUCCGCAGGUCUUGAGGUUGAUCAGGAACAUGGUAGGAACUGGCCGAUUCUCUCCCCUGGAUUGGACAAGGACAAGUUGA